GACCUAGGGUCCCCACCAUUUCCUACUUGGUAGUCCCUCCGUCUUUCCUUGCAACUGAUGUUGUCUCGCGUGGCGAAAUAAAAUCUUUCUCGUUCGUCAAUUUCCAUUUCUACUUCGAAUUGGUGACGAUAUUCGUCCUAAACUUGGCAUUUAAAGAUUUAACGAACGUUCAUGAUACAUAAUCCUCUUUCAAGCUCGCCAUAUGCGACGCGGAAUAUGCCCAGAAUCAACGAUUAAACAGCAAUAACGCUCGCUUUUAUGUUCAUUGACUCGUUUCUAGGUAUUUCGCGCACCAGGAGAAGAUGACUUUUGCUACGAAUUCGAUAAAUCGAUUCGAUUAUUUUCCUCUCACCAACUUCACGUUGUGCAACAUCGCCGCGUGAUAAUGCGCAUACACGCUUCUCAAGGAUCUUGAUCGAGGAUAAAAAAGAUGGAUUGGGGAUAAAGGAAAAAAAUACGCGUCUGUUCCUACCAAGGAUCUCGUUGGAUGAGGAUGACGGAACGGAAUCUUCAACGGUUCGAUGACCCUGCUCGGAUAUUGAAUUUCCUCUUGCGGUAUAUAAAAAUACGGAUGAAAAGUGGCGUUAAAAGGAACUACCGGUUUGAGAGAGCUUUUUCGGUUAUAUAAAAUUUUUAUAGUACUGAUAGCAUCGAUAGCGAGUGAAAGUCAAUUACGCUUAUGUAACAAUUCUUUCUUUUUUUACUAUAAAAAAAUGUUCUCAAAGUUAUUAAUUUUAGAUCCUGUAGGAAACGUUCGUGUUACAUUAAAAUGUAAAAUUUCAAUGCGGAGUUAUUUUCGUUUAGAGCUUACUCGUUAUAAAGUGCAGUAUUGAGUAGGUUGCGCGCGGUAAAAAUGUGCAAUGUAACAGAAGAGACAGAAUCAGUUCUAAAGUAGCGUUAAUUUAGUGCUGGAAAAAUAAUCUACAUCGUAGACAGGAAGUAUUUCACCAGAAUUCUUACAAUGAAUUUUCCAAUUCAUUUUCAAUUAAAUUCCAUUUGAAAACUAGAUGUCACCGCCAGCGAAGAAUUGCGCGUAUCAAAUUGCAACACGACGUUCGAUCCACCGACAAUUUGUUAAAAAUUCAUAUACCUAAAGAGCCAUCAACCUUCCCAUAAAAUAACAAACAGAGUAAAAAGAAAUGAUCAAUUCUGAAUAAACAUGCAAUAUAUUGAAUUAUAUAGAUAUAAUAGCGUUUAAAGGUCUUUAACACGCUAGCUAUAAAAACAGGACAAAGAACAAAUAGGAAGCGUGACAAAUAGGGAUAUAACACGUAUUUUCAAUACCGAGAACUCGGAACGAAGUUUGAUAGGACGGGAUCUACGUGGAACCGGUUCAUCCGCUUCUUUCGUUUCGAUGUAGUUCUAAACGUGACCCUCUCUCGGUAACAGGAACCUCAAGGUUAACGGCUGGUUGUCGUAAUAAUGCACGGAUGAAGUGACCGAUCGUUUGGAAAUAUUAAAAAUUCCAUUGCCGUUCUACGAUCGUGUAAUUAUUAUUUCGCUACAGAUAUCGAACAGCGAUAGGUGUCGAACGAAUCCUGCUUUCCAUUCCUGCAAACGUGAUUUAUCGAAGUGGGUCGCAGAGUAGAUUCGAUAUAGUGACCCAAGUCCUGCUUUUGUGUAAUUGAGUUUAGUAUAGAUUAGCGGAUGCAAUAAACCUUAACGAUCAAAGACAGCUUACGCCUAUCUUUCGAUAUUUUAAUAUCGUGACAAACAAUUUCUAGAAAAAUGGCUAGAUCAAUAUGUACAUGUUUUUCUUCUGAUGUUAAACAAAUAUUUAUUUUAUAUUCGGAAAGGGAUAGCUUUCUCGUAAUACAAAAUAUAUAUUCCCUGUAUAUUCGUAAAAGAUGAUAGUUUCCUAAUGUGGAAUAUAAUACUGCGUGUAUAUUUAUACAUUAAAAGAAGAAUUGAAUCCCUUUCUAACGUCGUAUGAAUAUGUGUUCGAUAUUUCGCGCCAGCAGGGUAGCUGCAAAGUUAAACUUAUUUUUAUCUUAAUAACGAGGAGCGUCUCCUGUUCUCCAGCGGAACGUUUCCUUAUUUCACUAUCGAAACGCAGAAGGUAGAACGAAUACUUGGGAUUUUUCGCGAAGCAACGAAUCAGUUCGAGGACCUUACGUGCCUUCAAGUCGACCGAAACACGCGAUGUCGGAAUUACGGUGGGCAGGCCCGACGUUAGUUCAAGUAAAGAUCGAUAAAACUGCUGUGCUAAGUAUUCGCGAUACUAACAGCUUGCCGUCCAAGUCAAAGUGGCAAGUGAACUUUCUCAACGGUCUGAAGUUACGCUUUAUAAGUUUCGCUUUGGCCGGUAUCGAUGCUGCGACCAUCUUUUAAUAAAUUGCUCGUCGAGCGAAUUUCGCUCAACCAGGCUUCGGACAAUUCAGCUAACGUGAAAGCGGAAUGAAAAAGAAAGACAAAAAGAUAAAAGAUGAAAGUGGAAUUCGAGGUGUAAUUUGCGCCGAUGAGUACGCUUUCUAAGCGAGGAGAUCGUUUGACGUAUUAGCUAUUGAAUCGAAAACGCGGGAAUUCGGGCGGCUAGAGAAUUAUGGUCUUAUUAAGAAAAAUGGAACUUUUUUUAGAAACGUGAAAUUAAUUCUACCUCGUUAGAAAAUCGAGAAUAUUCUCGCAUCUAGCGAAUCGGCUGCGAUGAAAAUUUUGCCAUUUAUUAAACGUUGUAAAAAAGUACUAAAAUACUUUGGAUAUUUUUCUACGAUAUAUUAUUCUACAAUAUUUAUAUUAUUGUGUGCGUUGUAUUAUGCGCUGUGUAUUUCUGUCACUUUAAAUUGCUCACAAAUGCACGAAAAUCCGCUGCUUAGUGAUGAAAGUAUGAAUGCUGGUUGCAGAAAUUCUCUUCGAUAACAUUUGAUGCGAGGAAAUUAGUUCGAUUAUUAUUCCUACAUAUUUAAAUGUCAGGUAAAGUUUUUUAAACUUCUCCUAUGAAAUGUAAUGUAUAUGUACGUUUUUUAGAUGAAUAAUAUGCAGUAAUUUAUGCAUUAUACGCGCCAGAUGGCACGUUGCAUGGGCAAGCAAUAACAGCAAUAUUAUAUUAGCACGACAGAGGAACGGCUAUUGAAUGUGCAAGGGAAAAGCGGACAAAAAGUGAGAUAUUAAAUGGGACGAGUGCUAUACACUUAAACUCGUUGUCGGCAGAACGUUUUGCCUUUAAUUAAUUUGCAGUGUGAUUGAAGACGGUAUCGUGGCUUUGAUUUUCUCUCGUUUUCAUAUUCGAAGGGCAAAUUUUUCUACGCUAUUCAUAAAUCAUUAAUAUUUUGAGAGAAAAUAAAGUAAAGUAUGUUGACGAAUUUUUUUCGAUAAGCGUUUAAUAUCGCGUUAAAUACAGGAAAUAAACUUAAGACCUUAUCGAUGAUCAUAAUAUGAGUGAAGUAUGUAUAUCGCGUAAGUAUGUAUUCUAUGCUGGAUCAGAUUUUAUUCUAGAACAUUGAAUCUCUCAAGAAUGAGAAUACUUUCAAUGUUUGGUUAUUACCAUUGAAAGUCCUUGAUAAGUUUGAUAAACGAAAAUAUUUUGUUUAACACUAUGUUGUACUAUAUAUAGAAGCAGUUAAUCGAGUGGCUGUCUCUAACUAAGAAAUAUAAAAAGAUAUAUUUUAUAUAUUCUCGAAAACCGCGUUGCUACUUCAGCUAUUUGGAAUUUUUGUUUUACGGUCUACGGAUCACAGACAUAUUUGCGCAUCCACGUGAAACCGAAUCUGAAUUCUACUCUUUGACUUAGAAACGCGAAGUCGAGAGAAUAUCACGAGUUCACUUCGUAUGGGAACUGAAAAUCGACGACAAUAUUUCUAUUUGCUACCAUUGCAUAUCGAAUUGACGUCAAAGUAAAUGUUGUUAAUUAAAAAAAUUAGAUAUUCGCGUGAAUUUUAAUAGGCAAAAUUAAAUUAAUUUUAAUCUUGCGAUAACAACAUUUAAUCGAUCUUUUUCUGCCAUUUUUCACGCAAUGAAUUCAUGGUGGAGAAUACAAAAACCGAUAAUCAACUGCUAAACAAGCGUAUGCAAGCAUAAAGAUGAAAUCGUUUAAAGUACACGUUACAAUGGAGCACGUAAUUGAGAAACCUUCAAACUAUAGUUACCUUCUAAAUUUGCCACUGAAAUUCUAACCGGCAAUUAUUUCUAACAAAGGUUUCUGUAACGUCCAUGACUAAAACAAUUACACUGGAAUGUAGAUUACGAAUCUGUGAAUGUUGACUUUCACUUCUACUUUUUAUGCAGCUGCACAGGAACGAAAAAUGGGAAAAAAGACAAUAUUUUCUUUAUAAAACAAAACGUUAGAUUCGGCUAAAAUCAAAUUCUUAUUUCUCUGUUAUGUUAGAGAAACUCUAUGUUAACUUCUCUUAUUUGUAUUAACACGUUAAGAGUCUUUUAUCCCACUAAAAAUUUCUUUUAGAUUCAAACUAAAACGAUGAGAUCGAGAUACGAGAAAUCGUAGAACCGUAGAAAAAUUAAUAACAAAGACGAAGUAUGAAAAUCUUAAAUCUUGUUAUUAAAAUAAUAAUUAUUAUUUUACGUAUUGUAAAAUCAAAUGCAAGAGAGUCUCCGAUAUUUUCCAGUGAGUUUUCCUUUCUAUAUGUGUAAGAAUAAAGAUACAUAUAUUUCUCUAUAUAUAUCUUAAGUAACAUGUUUUGAUUUAGCAAAGAUGUAACAUUGUAAAAGUACAAGUACGAUGCAAUUUUACCAAAUUAUUAAAUGCCAAUUGUGGCAAAAAAUAACUACAUCGGAAUAAACAAAAAAUAAUCUAACAGUGUAGAUAAUGUUUCGUAGUGUUCUAUGAGGUGAAAGAGUAAUGGUUGAUAAAAGCACUGAGCAUAACAAGUUCACUUACGACUAAUCAGAUUAUGCAAUAGAUCAAUGUUUGUACAUAACCAAUUAUCUUCCUUGCGAUUUCAAGAACAAGUACGCAUACAGUAGAAAAUUUAUGUUGUUUCACGAAGCGUAUAUGAGAAGCGAUAGAAGAGAAAUAAAAGUUAUUUGUAUAAAAAAAGGAGUCUUAAAUAGGAUGCAGGAAUACAAUCUCGUUUCUUUAUGAAUUUAAAGAUAAAAAUUGAAAUAUAAUAAUAAUUCAGAUAUAUUUCAAACUUUUUAAUUGAAUCGUUUACUUUACGUUAACUAAUUAAUUACGAAGCUAAUACAAUAAAGUAAUAAAACAUGUAAGUACAGAUAUUGAAUUUCUAUUUGAGAUAGUUGUAAUUUUCAGAGUUAAACAAGCGUUUAUACAGCGAGAAGGAUAAUGAAAUAAUUUCUUAGACUUCUUGUCAAAUAUCUGUCUGUAUUUUUAAAAACAACGAAACAAUGAAAUAUUCUCUUCUUUCUCCUACAUCGUUUCGCUUUAGUAACAGAAUUAGAAAAAAAAAAAAAAGAAAAACAAAA